rnacentral:tRNA from 1 species
CAAACUGGAGCUUGUUUAAGUAUUUCAUUUACAUUGAAAAGAAAUUAUAAUUUUAAUUAGUUUGA